GAUGAACGCUGGCGGCGUGCCUAAUACAUGCAAGUCGAGCGAACAGACGAGGAGCUUGCUUCUCUGAUGUUAGCGGCGGACGGGUGAGUAACACGUGGAUAACCUACCUAUAAGACUGGGAUAACUUCGGGAAACCGGAGCUAAUACCGGAUAAUAUAUUGAACCGCAUGGUUCAAUAGUGAAAGACGGUCUUGCUGUCACUUAUAGAUGGAUCCGCGCUGCAUUAGCUAGUUGGUAAGGUAACGGCUUACCAAGGCAACGAUGCGUAGCCGACCUGAGAGGGUGAUCGGCCACACUGGAACUGAGACACGGUCCAGACUCCUACGGGAGGCAGCAGUAGGGAAUCUUCCGCAAUGGGCGAAAGCCUGACGGAGCAACGCCGCGUGAGUGAUGAAGGUCUUCGGAUCGUAAAACUCUGUUAUUAGGGAAGAACAAAUGUGUAAGUAACUAUGCACGUCUUGACGGUACCUAAUCAGAAAGCCACGGCUAACUACGUG
rnacentral:rRNA from 1 species